rnacentral:autocatalytically_spliced_intron from 1 species
UAGCGCCGUAUACGAAAACCGUACGUACGGUGCAAUGAGAGGGGCGAAAAUAAUUUAUUUUCCCUCUACUCUAU